rnacentral:misc_RNA from 1 species
GGAUGAAGAACGUAGCGAAAUGCGAUAAGUAAUGUGAAUUGCAGAAUUCAGUGAAUCAUCGAAUCUUUGAACGCACAUUGCGCCCCUUGGUAUUCCGAGGGGCAUGCCUGUUCGAGCGUCAUUAUCACCCUUCAAGCUCUGCUUGGUGUUGGGGCCUGCUGUUAUAGGCAGCCCUUAAAAUCAGUGGCAGUGACCAUUGGGCUCUAAGCGUAGUAAUUCUUCUCGCUACAGCGUCCAGCGGCUGCGCGCCAAAACCCCCAAUUUUUUAUGAUUGACCUCGGAUCAGGUAGGGAUACCCGCUGAACUUAAGCAUAUCAAUAAGCGGAGGA